AACGAACGCUGGCGGCAGGCCUAACACAUGCAAGUCGAGCGAGGACUUCGGUCCUAGCGGCGGACGGGUGAGUAACGCGUGGGAACGUGCCCUUUGCUUCGGAAUAGCCCUGGGAAACUGGGAGUAAUACCGGAUGAGCCCUUUGGGGGAAAGAUUUAUCGGCGAAGGAUCGGCCCGCGUUGGAUUAGGGAGUUGGUGGGGUAAUGGCCUACCAAGCCGACGAUCCAUAGCUGGUUUGAGAGGAUGAUCAGCCACACUGGGACUGAGACACGGCCCAGACUCCUACGGGAGGCAGCAGUGGGGAAUCUUAGACAAUGGGGGAAACCCUGAUCUAGCCAUGCCGCGUGAGCGAUGAAGGCCUUAGGGUUGUAAAGCUCUUUCAGCUGGGAAGAUAAUGACGGUACCAGCAGAAGAAGCCCCGGCUAACUCCGUG
rnacentral:rRNA from 1 species